rnacentral:rRNA from 1 species
UACGUAGGGUGCAAGCGUUGUCCGGAAUUAUUGGGCGUAAAGAGCUCGUAGGCGGUCUGUCACGUCGGCUGUGAAAACCCGGGGCUCAACCCCGGGCCUGCAGUCGAUACGGGCAGACUAGAGUGCAGUAGGGGAGACUGGAAUUCCUGGUGUAGCGGUGAAAUGCGCAGAUAUCAGGAGGAACACCGGUGGCGAAGGCGGGUCUCUGGGCCGUAACUGACGCUGAGGAGCGAAAGCGUGGGGAGCAAACAGG